rnacentral:rRNA from 1 species
GUAGGGUGCGAGCGUUAAUCGGAAUUACUGGGCGUAAAGUGUGCGCAGGCGGUCUCGCAAGUCAAGUGUGAAAGCCCCGGGCUUAACCUGGGAACUGCGCUUGAAACUACGAGACUCGAGUGUGGCAGAGGAAGGUGGAAUUCCACGUGUAGCGGUGAAAUGCGUAGAGAUGUGGAGGAACACCGAUGGCGAAGGCAGCCUUCUGGGCCAACACUGACGCUCAUGCACGAAAGCGUGGGGAGCAAACAGGAUUAGAUACCCUGGUAGUCCACGCCCUAAACGAUGAUGACUAGUUGUUGGAGGAGUUAAAUCCUUUAGUAACGCAGCUAACGCGUGAAGUCAUCCGCCUGGGGAGUACGGUCGCAAGAUUA